CCUACGGGCGGCAGCAGUGGGGAAUAUUGGACAAUGGGGGCAACCCUGAUCCAGCCAUGCCGCGUGUGUGAAGAAGGCCCUCGGGUUGUAAAGCACUUUCAGUGAGGAAGAACGCCUGGUGGUUAAUACCCAUCAGGAAAGACAUCACUCACAGAAGAAACACCGGCUAACUCCGUGCCAGCAGCCGCGGUAAUACGGAGGGUGCGAGCGUUAAUCGGAAUUACUGGGCGUAAAGCGCGCGUAGGUGGCUUGAUAAGCCGGUUGUGAAAGCCCCGGGCUCAACCUGGGAACGGCAUCCGGAACUGUCAAGCUAGAGUGCAGGAGAGGAAGGUAGAAUUCCCGGUGUAGCGGUGAAAUGCGUAGAGAUCGGGAGGAAUACCAGUGGCGAAGGCGGCCUUCUGGACUGACACUGACACUGAGGUGCGAAAGCGUGGGUAGCAAACAGGAUUAGAUACCCCUGUAGUC
rnacentral:rRNA from 1 species